rnacentral:rRNA from 1 species
GAGGUACGCUGGCGGCGUGCCUAAUACAUGCAAGUCGAGCGCGGGAAGCUUGCGGAAUCCUUCGGGAGGAAGUGAGCGGACCGAGCGGCGGACGGGUGAGUAACACGUGGGCAACCUGCCCGUAAGACGGGGAUAACCCCGGGAAACCGGGGCUAAUACCGGAUAGGUGACCUUUCUGCAUGGAGGGGUCAUGAAAGGCGGCGGAAGCCGUCGCUUACGGAGGGGCCCGCGGCGCAUUAGCUAGUUGGUGAGGGAAGGGCUCACCAAGGCGACGAUGCGUAGCCGGCCUGAGAGGGUGAACGGCCACACUGGGACUGAGACACGGCCCAGACUCCUACGGGAGGCGGCGGUAGGGAAUCUUCCGCAAUGGACGGAAGUCUGACGGAGCAACGCCGCGUGAGUGAGGAAGGCCUUCGGGUCGUAAAGCUCUGUUGUUCGUGAAGAAGGGGUUGGCCAGGAAAUGGGCCGACAUUGACGGUAGCGAACCAGAAAGCCCCGGCUAACUACGUGCCAGCAGCCGCGGUAACACGUAGGGGGCAAGCGUUGUCCGGAAUGAUUGGGCGUAAAGGGCGCGCAGGCGGCCUCUUAAGUCUGAUGUGAAAGCCCACGGCUCAACCGUGGAGGGACAUUGGAAACUGGGGGGCUUGAGUGCAGGAGAGGGGAGUGGAAUUCCACGUGUAGCGGUGAAAUGAGUAGAGAUGUGGAGGAACACCAGUGGCGAAGGCGGCUCUCUAGCCUGUGACUGACGCUGAGGCGCGAAAGCGUGGGGAGCGAACAGGAUUAGAUACCCUGGUAGUCCACGCC